UACGAAGGGAGCUAGCGUUGUUCGGAAUCACUGGGCGUAAAGCGCACGUAGGCGGACUCUUAAGUCGGUGGUGAAAUCCUGGAGCUCAACUCCAGAACUGCCUUUGAUACUGGUGAUCUUGAGUCCGGGAGAGGUGAGUGGAACUGCGAAGUGUAGAGGUGAAAUUCGUAGAUAUUCGCAAGAACACCAGUGGCGAAGGCGGCUCACUGGCCCGGUACUGACGCUGAGGUGCGAAAGCGUGGGGAGCAAACAGG
rnacentral:rRNA from 1 species